rnacentral:rRNA from 1 species
GGGUUGUGAGGUUAAGCGACUAAGCGUACACGGUGGAUGCCCUGGCAGUCAGAGGCGAUGAAGGACGUGCUAAUCUGCGAUAAGCGCCGGUAAGGUGAUAUGAACCGUUAUAACCGGCGAUUUCCGAAUGGGGAAACCCAGUGUGAUUCGUCACACUAUCAUUAACUGAAUCCAUAGGUUAAUGAGGCGAACCGGGGGAACUGAAACAUCUAAGUACCCCGAGGAAAAGAAAUCAACCGAGAUUCCCCCAGUAGCGGCGAGCGAACGGGGAGGAGCCCAGAGCCUGAAUCAGCAUGUGUGUUAGUGGAAGCGUCUGGAAAGGUGCGCGAUACAGGGUGACAGCCCCGUACACAAAAGCGCAUGUGCUGUGAGCUCGAUGAGUAGGGCGGGACACGUGGUAUCCUGUCUGAAUAUGGGGGGACCAUCCUCCAAGGCUAAAUACUCCUGACUGACCGAUAGUGAACCAGUACCGUGAGGGAAAGGCGAAAAGAACCCCGGCGAGGGGAGUGAAAAAGAACCUGAAACCGUGUACGUACAAGCAGUGGGAGCACAGGUUUACCUGUGUGACUGCGUACCUUUUGUAUAAUGGGUCAGCGACUUAUAUUCUGUAGCAAGGUUAACCGUAUAGGGGAGCCGUAGGGAAACCGAGUCUUAACCGGGCGUUAAGUUGCAGGGUAUAGACCCGAAACCCGGUGAUUCAGCCAUGGGCAGGUUGAAGGUUGGGUAACACUAACUGGAGGACCGAACCGACUAAUGUUGAAAAAUUAGCGGAUGACCUGUGGCUGGGGGUGAAAGGCCAAUCAAACCGGGAGAUAGCUGGUUCUCCCCGAAAGCUAUUUAGGUAGCGCCUCGUGAAUUCAUCUCCGGGGGUAGAGCACUGUUUCGGCUAGGGGGCCAUCCCGGCUUACCAACCCGAUGCAAACUGCGAAUACCGGAGAAUGUUAUCACGGGAGACACACGGCGGGUGCUAACGUCCGUCGUGAAGAGGGAAACAACCCAGACCGCCAGCUAAGGUCCCAAAGUCAUGGUUAAGUGGGAAACGAUGUGGGAAGGCCCAGACAGCCAGGAUGUUGGCUUAGAAGCAGCCAUCAUUUAAAGAAAGCGUAAUAGCUCACUGGUCGAGUCGGCCUGCGCGGAAGAUGUAACGGGGCUAAACCAUGCACCGAAGCUGCGGCAGCGAACGUAUCACCCAAGACAACUUUACGGAGUUGACGAUUGACGGAGCGAAGCGACGUCAAAGCGUUCAUUAAAGUCGAGUUGGCUUAGGGAUACGUUCGUUGGGUAGGGGAGCGUUCUGUAAGCCUGUGAAGGUGUGUCGUGAGGCAUGCUGGAGGUAUCAGAAGUGCGAAUGCUGACAUAAGUAACGAUAAAGCGGGUGAAAAGCCCGCUCGCCGGAAGACCAAGGGUUCCUGUCCAACGUUAAUCGGGGCAGGGUGAGUCGACCCCUAAUUCGAGGCCGAAAGGCCUAGUAGAUGGGAAACGGGUUUAUAUUCCCGUACUUGGUGUUACUGCGUAGGGGGGACGGAGAAGGCUAUGUUGGCCGGGCGACGGUUGUCCCGGUUUAAGCGUGUAGGUGUGUGUUCCAGGUAAAUCCGGUUCACUUUAACACUGAGGCGUGACGACGAGGCACUACGGUGCUGAAGCAACAAAUGCCCUGCUUCCAUGAAAAGCCUCUAAGCAUCAGGUAACACGAAAUCGUACCCCAAACCGACACAGGUGGUCAGGUAGAGAAUACCAAGGCGCUUGAGAGAACUCGGGUGAAGGAACUAGGCAAAAUGGUGCCGUAACUUCGGGAGAAGGCACGCUGACACGUAGGUGAAGUGAUUUACUCAUGGAGCUGAAGUCAGUCGAAGAUACCAGCUGGCUGCAACUGUUUAUUAAAAACACAGCACUGUGCAAACACGAAAGUGGACGUAUACGGUGUGACGCCUGCCCGGUGCCGGAAGGUUAAUUGAUGGGGUCAGCGCAAGCGAAGCUCCUGAUCGAAGCCCCGGUAAACGGCGGCCGUAACUAUAACGGUCCUAAGGUAGCGAAAUUCCUUGUCGGGUAAGUUCCGACCUGCACGAAUGGCGUAAUGAUGGCCAGGCUGUCUCCACCCGAGACUCAGUGAAAUUGAACUCGCUGUGAAGAUGCAGUGUACCCGCGGCAAGACGGAAAGACCCCGUGAACCUUUACUAUAGCUUGACACUGAACAUUGAGCCUUGAUGUGUAGGAUAGGUGGGAGGCUUUGAAGUGUGGACGCCAGUCUGCAUGGAGCCGACCUUGAAAUACCACCCUUUAAUGUUUGAUGUUCUAACGUGGACCCGUAAUCCGGGUUGCGGACAGUGUCUGGUGGGUAGUUUGACUGGGGCGGUCUCCUCCUAAAGAGUAACGGAGGAGCACGAAGGUUGGCUAAUCCCCGGUCGGACAUCAGGAGGUUAGUGCAAUGGCAUAAGCCAGCUUGACUGCGAGCGUGACGGCGCGAGCAGGUGCGAAAGCAGGUCAUAGUGAUCCGGUGGUUCUGAAUGGAAGGGCCAUCGCUCAACGGAUAAAAGGUACUCCGGGGAUAACAGGCUGAUACCGCCCAAGAGUUCAUAUCGACGGCGGUGUUUGGCACCUCGAUGUCGGCUCAUCACAUCCUGGGGCUGAAGUAGGUCCCAAGGGUAUGGCUGUUCGCCAUUUAAAGUGGUACGCGAGCUGGGUUUAGAACGUCGUGAGACAGUUCGGUCCCCUAUCUGCCGUGGGCGCUGGAGAACUGAGGGGGGCUGCUCCUAGUACGAGAGGACCGGAGUGGACGCAUCACUGGUGUUCGGGUUGUCAUGCCAAUGGCACUGCCCGGUAGCUAAAUGCGGAAGAGAUAAGUGCUGAAAGCAUCUAAGCACGAAACUUGCCCCGAGAUGAGUUCUCCCUGAGACUUAGAGUCUCCUGAAGGAACGUUGAAGACGACGACGUUGAUAGGCCGGGUGUGUAAGCGCAGCGAUGCGUUGAGCUAACCGGUACUAAUGAACCGUGAGGCUUAACCUUACAACGCCGAAG